rnacentral:rRNA from 1 species
UACGGAGGGAGCUAGCGUUGUUCGGAAUUACUGGGCGUAAAGCGCACGUAGGCGGCUUUGCAAGUUGGAGGUGAAAGCCUGGGGCUCAACUCCAGAACUGCCUUUAAAACUGCAUCGCUUGAAUCCAGGAGAGGUGAGUGGAAUUCCGAGUGUAGAGGUGAAAUACGUAGAUAUUCGGAAGAACACCAGUGGCGAAGGCGGCUCACUGGACUGGUAUUGACGCUGAGGUGCGAAAGCGUGGGGAGCAAACAGG